CUGAAUGCCAUCAAUUCAUUUGACGCUUUUCACACUAUGUCCUCUUGCAGCAUAUUUCAUAUACUGUAUUCAUUUCCUACUUCAUCAUGGCUGUAAAAGACAAUGUCAAAAUCUAGUGAACCUGCAUUGUUUAAGAUAGUGUGACAUUUAUUCUGCAACUUCUUCAAACUAAGAACCCGCUUUGUUGCAUUGGUAUUCCGAUUAUUUAUUGGUUGAUGAAUGAGUGCUAAACUGUUUUUACUCGUAUGUAAUAAUCCUUUUACUAGCUCUGGUAAUCCGUCAAUAAAGCUGGUCAUGA